rnacentral:lncRNA from 1 species
CUGGGUGUAAGUGUGCCAGCGCCAUGAUGUCAUGAGGCCCGAGAACUGGGUCAGGUGUGUGGGCCAGGACGGGGCCUGGAGGGCAGCCGCACAGUGCUCGCAGGGAUGGGGUGGUGACGUCAUGGGUUGGUGAAGGCGGGGCCUCGAAGGCACCGCUGGGAUGCGUGAGGUCAGGAAGGAGGCAGAGGCUGAGAAGAGGAACUGGGAGAGGCUCAGGACUGGAAUGAAGUCAGCCACCAGGAUGAGCCACUGGUCAUUCCGAAGCAAGGAUGGAGGAUGCAGCAACCUUGGCCAUGGACCAGCCGGCUGGCCUGCAGGUGGACUACGUCUUCCGGGGUGUGGAGCAUGCCGUGCGGGUGAUGGUUUCUGGGCAGGUGCUGGAGCUGGAGGUGGAGGACCGGAUGACGGCUGACCAGUGGCGGGGCGAGUUCGAUGCUGGCUAGUAGUGAGUCAGUCACCCUGGACCUGCUGACCUACACAGACCUGGAGUCCCUGAGGAACCACAAGAUGGGGGGCCGCCCAGGCUCCUUGGCCCCCAGGUCGGCCCAGCUCAACUCCAAGCGCUACCUGAUCCUCAUCUACUCCGUGGAGUUUGACAGGAUUCACUACCCGCUGCCCCUCCCGUACCAGGGCAAGCCAGACCCCGUGGUUCUGCAGGGCAUCAUCCGGUCACUGAAGGAGGAACUGGGCCGCCUGCAAGGGCUGGAUGGCCAGAACACUCGGGACACCCGGGAGAAUGAGAUCUG